AGCAGCCGCGGUAAUUCCAGCUCCAAUAGCGUAUAUUAAAGUUGUUGCAGUUAAAAAGCUCGUAGUUGAAUUUCGGAAUCUGUCCAUCGGUCGGGCUUCACUGUCCGUACUGGUGUGGUGGGUUCUUACCUUCUGAAUAACCAGCAUGCCAUUCACUUGGUGCGUUGGGGAAGCAGGACUAUUACCUUGAAAAAUUAGAGUGCUCAAAGCAGGCCAGUGCCUGAAUACAUUAGCAUGGAAUAAUAAAAUAGGACGGCAUGGUUCUAUUUUGUUGGUUUCUAGGAUCACCGUAAUGAUUAAUAGGGAUAGUUGGGGGCAUUAGUACUCAAUUGUCAGAGGUGAAAUUCUUGGAUUUAUUGAAGACUAACUUCUGCGAAAGCAUUUGCCAAGGAUGUUUUCAUUAAUCAAGAACGAAAGUUAGGGGAUCGAAGACGAUCAGAUACCGUCGUAGUCUUAACCAUAAACUAUGCCGACUAGGGAUCGGACGAUGUUAAUUUUAAUGACUCGUUCGGCG
rnacentral:rRNA from 1 species